GGAGAGAUGACAGAGUGGUUUAUUGUGGUAGAUUGCUAAUCUAUUGUACAUUCUUAUUAUGUACCAAGGGUUCGACUCCCUUUCUCUCCU
rnacentral:tRNA from 1 species